ACACACACACACACACGCACACACACACAAUAACUCUCUGCCCAGUUACAUUCAAGCUGGUAAGGAGGAGAGGGGAGCUCUGAAUCUGAAACUCUGGACCUUACAAUAUUUUCCAUAAAUCAUAAACACUGUUAUUUGUAGGUUGUGUUUUAAAGCAGUGCGAGUGGAGAUUCUCACCAAGCAAGCGAACAAACGUUGCAGAUGUUUCUAUAACGUUCCAGGACAGCUGUUGGAAUGUUUUCCCACCACAUGACAGAGGACAAGAAAGCACAGCCAAUGGCUUCCCUGACCCAGGUCACCUGACCAGGUCACUUGACCAGAACCCGACCGUUGGCGCUGUGGUCAGCUCAACCCAGCCCACGCGGCUGUGUGUACACAGAUCUAACGCCAAACGCAGAAAGAAGAUGUCAGUCAGCGACUUCAAAAGCGAUCCACUCCUACACAGAGGGAGGUGUGUUCUGCAGCCAACGGAACGGACCCAGGUCCAUGUAUCCUGCUGGAGAGGAUGGCAGGAUGCAGUGAGUCUGGUGGGUCUGUUCAACAAGGUCCAUCCACACAGUGAGACAGCCCAGGAGGCCUCCAGCCAACAGGCCUCUGGACUGGACCUGCUCAAGAUCUACGCUAAGCGGGAGUCCCAGAGGGCAGGAUACGUAGAGCUGGCCCUGCAGGCCUCCGAGCAGACUUCCGCAGAGAUCCGUCUGACCGUCAUGCAUCACCACACCUAACCACUGGAGAGCUCUCUCACAUCACAGCAUAGCUCCAUCUAACCGUCCCAUACAUCUCACACCCACAACAAUAAACCAACGGAGCAGUGACAUUCUCCCCAAUGGCCUGCCUAUCCAUGACCCCAAUCUUUAAUCAACUGGACAAUUACAGUAAACAAAGAGAAAAACUUAGUCCUUGAACUAUGGAGCUCAUCUUGAACCACUUGCAAGCCAAGUGUCCAUUGCCAAUGAAUGGCAUCAACAUGUGCACAUAAUUGGGAUGCACCAAGCUUGACUUCUGUUGACGCAGUGCAGAUAUUCACUUCUGCAUUUCAACCUUGUAAUUUGUCCAUAACCUUAAUCAUACUGUAUCUCAACAUUGGAACUGACUGUAAGCUGUUUAAUUAUCAUGUACAUACAAAAUAAAAAUGUUUAUAUACAUUCUCUCAUUUAUUGCAUGCAGGGUAGCCUAGUGGUUAGAGCGUUGGACUAGUAACCGCAAGGUUGUAAGUUCAAAUCCCUGACGUGACAAGGUACAAAUCUGUCGUUCUGCCCCUGAACAGGCAUAACCCACUGUUCCUAGGCCGUCAUUGAAAAUAAGAAUUUGUUCUUAACUGACUUGCCUAGUUAAAUAAAGGUAAAAUAAUUUUUUACAAUUAUUCCUUUGGCCUGAUUCAGACAAACACUUGUCAUCUUUAUUGAGUUGAUAACAUUUAAUUCCAGACCAGUCAUACAUUAGGCACUUGGGUUCACAUCUGUAACAAUGAAGUAGGUUCCUUAUUAAAAACAGCAGAUGCAUAAGAUACUAGACCAUGGCAGAGCAGCAUGCUUGCCAAGACAUGUAGAGGUAUACUGAAGACAAGCUCAUGACCUAACUAAUGAAUGAAAGAUCAAAGCCUGUUUAACUAGCGGUAAGAGGUACAGUAGUAAACUAUUCCCAUCUUCCUAUGUGAGAGGAUAAGGUAAACAUGUCAAACCCAUGACCACUCUGGUUCAUACUAUCAUUCUAUACUGUAGGUCAAUGUGAGAGUUGGAGGAUGAAGUACUGUACAAAGGAUUUCAAAACCAUGGUGUAUUCACUAGUUGGAUGCCAUUGCUAAAUGUUUGCAAUGGAAAAAGUUUACUCUAUGAACCAACCUGAAUUUGUGCAAUAGAAACGUGUUUUGUAUUUGGUGUAAACCGUUUCCAUUGCAAAACUUUUGCAAUGAAAUACGACUAAUGAAUACAACCCGGGGUUGUGUUCAGCAUGUGCGAAACCAGAAAUCUAUUUGACACAGUACAUUUGACCUGUUCAAUAAGAAGGCAAAUUUGUAUCCCGUUUCAAACAUUUACUGUGUUUAUUCCUAAUGAAUGAACCCAGUCCACCACAUUAUCACCCAAAGCAUUCUACAAACAACCUUCCACGGUGUUUUCACAGUUAAUGUGUAAAGAUGGAAAGACAUGAACUCAUCCGCCCCACCUUUCACCAGUUUCACUGUAAAGGUAAAAACACCCUGGUCCCCCACACACACACUCCCAUUCACUAGGAGUAUGAACAACACUUUGGUCACUUUAAGAGCAUUUCUCCAAGAGUUUCAGUCGUCUAAGAAGUCAUCGUCCAGAUUGACGUCUGUGGUGUCGAUGUCGUCGUCCAGAUCAAACAUGUCCAGGUCGUCAAGACCCUGCAGGAAUAAGUAAUGUAUAUGAGUGAGGAGUCAGUGGAAAACUGUAGGCGAGGGUGAACUACCUUGCUGGUACUUUGUUGUCCGUAACAGUUAUAUAGAGUACAUCAUUGUUCAAUAUCAAUAAAAAUCUAAACGUGAUUUCCAAUAUAGAUUAGCAUUCUAAAUACUGUGUACGUCAUGACAGGAUGUAUAGACUGGUUAGGUUUACCUCAUCAUUCAGGUCCAGCAGGUCCGUGGAUGUUGUUGCUACAGCUACAGGGGCUGCCUCCUCCAUACCUUUACCCUCUAAGAGGGCAGCUACAGGGGCUGCCUCCUCCAUACCUUUACCCUCUAAGAGGGCAGCUAGAGGGGCUGCCUCCAUAACUUUACCCUCUAAGAGGGCAGCUAGAGGGGCUGCCUCCAUAACUUUACCCUCUAAGAGGGCAGCUACAGGGUCUGCCUCCUUCAUACCUUUACCCUCUAAGAGGGCAGCUAGA
rnacentral:lncRNA from 13 species